AUGUUGCACCCUAUGAUGAAUAUUCUGAGGGUUGAGUUUGUUUCAGGAAGAAUUGUCUUUGAGGCUUGGAUUUGCUUGGGUAUGCUUGAGGGAUUAUGUUGGUUAUUGCUGGAUUUGUUUCAACAAGUUUCAGGUUCGGACAGGGGUUGGUAUGCUGUUUUUGGCUUGGUUAAAGCCUUGACAGGUUUGAGCUUGCAGCUGGUUGAGAGCAUUAGCAGGUUUGAGUCUUUGGGUGAUUUGGUGAGGCUUGGCCUUAAGCUGGUUUAUGGGCUGGAGGUGUUAAGGCAUAGUUACAGUGUAGCUCAGUUGCAGCGAUGA